UUUAGGCAUGCAAGUCGAGCGCGAAAGUCCCUUCGGGGACGAGUAGAGCGGCGAAAGGGUGAGUAAUGCUUGGGUAAGUUGCCUCUUGGACUGGGAUAGCCUCUGGAAACGGGGGGUAAUACCGGAUGGUCCCGUGGAGACUGCGGUCUUCGCGGGUAAUGGGUGGGGAUCUUCGGACCUACCGCCGAGAGAGAUGCCCGAGUCCUACCAGCUUGUUGGUGAGGUAAUGGCUCACCAAGGCGAAGACGGGUAGCCGGACUGAGAGGUUGGCCGGCCACACUGGCACUGAGACACUGGCCAGACUCCUACGGGAGGCUGCAGUCGAGAAUCUUCCGCAAUGGACGCAAGUCUGACGGAGCGACGCCGCGUGGAGGAAGAAGGCUUUCGGGUUGUAAACUCCUGUCAGAGCUUAUGAAUGCAGGCGGUCGAAUAGCCCGUUCUGUUGACAAAGGGCUCAAAGGAAGCCACAGCUAACUUCGUGCCAGCAGCUGCGGUAAUACGAAGGUGGCGAGCGUUGUUCGGAUUCACUGGGCAUAAAGGGCGCGUAGGCUGUCUCGUAAGCGGCGUGUGAAAGCCUGGAGCUCAACUCCAGAAUUGCACGCCGAACUGCGAGGCUAGAGGACGGGAGGGGAGUGUGGAACUCUAGGUGGAGCGGUGAAAUGCGUA
rnacentral:rRNA from 1 species